rnacentral:rRNA from 1 species
AUUGAACGCUGGCGGCAGGCCUAACACAUGCAAGUCGAACGGUAACAGGAAACAGCUUGCUGUUUCGCUGACGAGUGGCGGACGGGUGAGUAAUGUCUGGGAAACUGCCUGAUGGAGGGGGAUAACUACUGGAAACGGUAGCUAAUACCGCAUAACGUCGCAAGACCAAAGAGGGGGACCUUCGGGCCUCUUGCCAUCGGAUGUGCCCAGAUGGGAUUAGCUAGUAGGUGGGGUAACGGCUCACCUAGGCGACGAUCCCUAGCUGGUCUGAGAGGAUGACCAGCCAAACUGGAACUGAGACACGGUCCAGACUCCUACGGGAGGCAGCAGUGGGGAAUAUUGCACAAUGGGCGCAAGCCUGAUGCAGCCAUGCCGCGUGUAUGAAGAAGGCCUUCGGGUUGUAAAGUACUUUCAGCGGGGAUGAAGGGAGUAAAGUUAAUACCUUUGCUCAUUGACGUUACCCGCAGAAGAAGCACCGGCUAACUCCGU